GCUCAGGAUGAACGCUAGCUACAGGCUUAACACAUGCAAGUCGAGGGGCAGCAUGAAAGGAACUUCGGUUCUUUUUGAUGGCGACCGGCGCACGGGUGCGUAACGCGUAUCGAACCUGCCUCAUACUCGGGGAUAGCCUUGCGAAAGUAAGAUUAAUACCCGGCGGUCUCGGAUGGCCGCAUGACUAUCCGAGUGAAGAUUUAUCGGUAUGAGAUGGCGAUGCGUCCCAUUAGCUAGUUGGUGAGGUAAUGGCUCACCAAGGCAUCGAUGGGUAGGGGUUCUGAGAGGAAGGUCCCCCACAUUGGAACUGAGACACGGUCCAAACUCCUACGGGAGGCAGCAGUGAGGAAUAUUGGUCAAUGGACGAAAGUCUGAACCAGCCAAGUAGCGUGCAGGAAGACGGCCCUCUGGGUUGUAAACUGCUUUUAGUUGGGAAUAAAAAGAGGGACGUGUCCCUUAUUGUAUGUACCAUCAGAAAAAGGACCGGCUAAUUCCGUGCCAGCAGCCGCGGUAAUACGGAAGGUCCAGGCGUUAUCCGGAUUUAUUGGGUUUAAAGGGAGCGCAGGCGGCGGCGUAAGUCAGUUGUGAAAUCGUGCGGCUUAACCGUGCAAUUGCAGUUGAUACUGCGUCGCUUGAGUGCACACAGGGAUGUUGGAAUUCAUGGUGUAGCGGUGAAAUGCUUAGAUAUCAUGAAGAACUCCGAUCGCGAAGGCAUAUGUCCGGAGUGCAACUGACGCUGAGGCUCGAAAGUGUGGGUAUCAAACAGGAUUAGAUACCCUGGUAGUCCACACAGUAAACGAUGAAUACUCGCUGUUUGCGAUAUACAGUAAGCGGCCAAGCGAAAGCGUUAAGUAUUCCACCUGGGGAGUACGCCGGCAACGGUGAAACUCAAAGGAAUUGACGGGGGCCCG
rnacentral:rRNA from 1 species